UACGGAGGGGGCUAGCGUUGUUCGGAAUUACUGGGCGUAAAGCGUACGUAGGCGGCUUUGUAAGUUAGAGGUGAAAGCCCGGGGCUCAACUCCGGAAUUGCCUUUAAGACUGCAUCGCUUGAAUCAUGGAGAGGUGAGUAGAAUUCCGAGUGUAGAGGUGAAAUUCGUAGAUAUUCGGAAGAACACCAGUGGCGAAGGCGACUCACUGGACAUGUAUUGACGCUGAGGUACGAAAGCGUGGGGAGCAAACAGG
rnacentral:rRNA from 1 species